CAGAGUUCCUGCCCUCACGGGUAGAAACCCCACCCUUGUAUAUCAUAUCUUGUUGCUUUGGCGAGCCGCCCUCGCGGGCACCGGCUCACGCUGGCUCGCGCCCGCCAAAGGACCCCAAACUCUGAAGUAUAGUGUCGUCUGAGUACUAUCUAAUAGUUA
rnacentral:misc_RNA from 1 species